rnacentral:rRNA from 1 species
GAUGAACGCUGGCGGCGUGCCUAAUACAUGCAAGUCGAGCGAACAGACGAGGAGCUUGCUCCUCUGACGUUAGCGGCGGACGGGUGAGUAACACGUGGAUAACCUACCUAUAAGACUGGGAUAACUUCGGGAAACCGGAGCUAAUACCGGAUAAUAUAUUGAACCGCAUGGUUCAAUAGUGAAAGACGGUUUUGCUGUCACUUAUAGAUGGAUCCGCGCCGCAUUAGCUAGUUGGUAAGGUAACGGCUUACCAAGGCAACGAUGCGUAGCCGACCUGAGAGGGUGAUUCGCCACACUGGAACUGAGACAAGGUCCAGACCCCUACGGGAGGCAGCAGUAGGGAAUCUUCCGCAAAGGGCGAAAGCCUGACGGAGCAACGCCGCGUGAGGGAUGAAGGGCUUCGGAUCGUAAAACUCUGUUAUUAGGGAAGAACAAAUGUGUAAGUAACUAUGCACGUCUUGACGGGACCUAAUCAGAAAGCCACGGCUAACUACGUG